UAGAAUAUAUUGAAAUGAAAAAGGAGGAGGAAAAUCUUCUUUAGCCCUUUGCUUUUGCUAGGGGCAAAAAAAAAAGGGAAGAAAGAUCAUCUUUGUAGCCAUUGGUACAGCAUUUGUUCUCUUUUAUAUGGACAGCCUGAGCCUCACUCCAAACCCACCUUGCCAAACUUUUCUUCGUUUGAGAGAGAGAGAGAGAGAGAUUGGUUCUUACUGCAACUGAAGGAGGCAUCCAAAGGGAUCGCAUUGAUCCCAUCUCCACACCAACGAACAUCUCCCACAUAUUUGGAUCUUGGAUCAUGCUAUCCCUUUGGAUACCUCCUUUAGUGGCUUCAAAUCUAAUGAUCUCCUCGUCAAGAAUUGAUCUUGUGCGUCGCCGGAAAGAGCUCGCCGGAGAAAGGCCCGGAGAAGACCGAGCGAAGCCGCGCAAUGUGAAGAACGUGGAAUUCAAGUAAGUUUGAGAAUUGGUGAAUUAAUCAGUACACAUGUUGCUUGCUCAAAACCUGCUCGUAAAAUGUUGUGCUCAUCUCAAAAUUUUAUACUGAUUCGUGGACAAAAAUGGAGUCUAUAGACUGGGUAAAUGGAGUAGCUUCUGAUGGCAACAAUGAUUAUAAUCUCAAUCUAUGUCUUGCUCAGUAGAUUACCGCAAUUUCAGAAAUAAUCUCAUUUGCAGAUGCUUCCGACAAUUGAUUUGGUUUGUUUCCCUCCUUUAAUUAUGCCCUUGUCUUCCAAUAAUCUUGUUCAGUGAUGUAAGUAAUCAAGUUGUGCCAUGUCCGGAUGAUUUUUCUCCAAAAGCCGUUGGAGAACCGAUGCGUGCUUCAAUUUUAUGCUGCUCCAUUCCGAUACCAAUGCAAGGUCAGCUAGAAUUUCCGUGUCAUCAUUUUCUCAAACUGCGAAAACAAUGAAUAUUGGCCAUUUCAAGUUACAUAUGUUGAAACUUGUUUGCGAUCUCUGUUGUGACAAUUUCCAGAUAAUUUUGGGUGGUGCCUCGACAACUUUAGUAGUAUCUUGCAUGGCACAAAACCUACUAAAAGUUACGGUUUGAGGCUAACAUAUGCAUGAAACACACGGAGUCAUCUAUGUCCUUUUAAGUGAGUUUUGGUGACAGAUCCAUUGUUAUUAGAGUGUGAUUAGCUUAACCUAAUAGCAGAAUCCAUAUAAGUUUUCACAGGUAAAAAAAAAAAAGUUCCAUAUGCUCAAAUGGACAUGGAAGGAGCAGAGGAGGAGGCCAAACCCUAGAAGUGGAUCAUGCAUUUUCUGGGUAGACCAAAUUAACUUGACCAGAUUCUAUUCUUUGCCUCCCCAAGAAAUGUGCUAUAUCUUACAAGAAUUGAAUCACACUGUCCUUUAUUAAAGAAUAAUACAGCUUGAUCAAGAGCUUAACACCCACAUGCUUCAUGAUGCAGUAACCACUAUCCAAAGCAAAUGAGAAAUGUCAAAGAAAUAGGGUUGUGCAAAAGAACCAGGAACCACUUGGAUCGCCUAGAACUGGCGGUUCUCACGAGGACUGGUUCCCGAUCCCAUGCCUAGAACCGGCGGUUCUCAUGGGGACCGGUUCUCGGUUCCAUACAUAGAACCACCCGCAGCAGUCUCUCAUGAGUUACUUCAAUCUUGUUGUCAUGAAUGAACACCGAUUUGCAAAAGUAAGCAUGACAUGGCCAUC